rnacentral:lncRNA from 1 species
AUACUUCUAGACAUUCUCCUUUUGUUGCUUUAUUUAUCGCUUCGUUAUUUUUUUUAUCGUUUUGUUCUAAACGCCUUGUAUGUUUUAGACAUACGGCGGGUCUGGGCACGCGCCGGGCGGGCUUCCGCUGGGUCCCGGGGCGUGACAUUAGUACACCCUGUAUAGAUGUGAGAUCUUGUUGUAUAUGUAUUUUGGAGAGUUGUGGAUGACAGGUAUACAUUUUGGAGAUGUUAAAUUAUAAACUCGAUGUAUAUGUUGUAAUAAAGUGUAAUAGCUAGAUAAUU